AGAGAUGAUUAUGACAAAUGAAAUGGGGUUAUCAAAACCUAAGAGUAAGCGGACUGAUUGAUCACCAAUUCGCUUGAAAUUGACGGUGACACAAUUGACCAAAGUUUGCAUUUCUGAAAAUAUAUAUUUUUACCGUUUACUUAAGUGUUUCCUACUGAGUAUUAUUUAUAGUACUCAUCUCUACAAAUAAUUUUACAGGUUAAGAUCGAGGCAUGGCAAUGGUUGGCAUAGUGGCAAGUGUUCGGCAAUCUCUAAUUCUUU
rnacentral:lncRNA from 1 species